GCUUAGCUGUCUCCUCUUCCAAGUCAAUGAAAUUGAUCUGCCCGUGCAGAAGCGGACAUAAGUACAUAAGACGAGAAGACCCUAUGGAGCUUUAGACACCCGGCAGAUCACGUCAAAAACCUUGAACUAACAAGUAAAAACGCAGUGACCCCUAGCCCAUAUGUCUUUGGUUGGGGCGACCGCGGGGGAAAAUAAAGCCCCCAUGUGGACUGGGGGCACUGCCCCCACAGCCGAGAGCUACAGCUCUAAGCACCAGAAUUUCUGACCAAAAAUGAUCCGGCAAACGCCGAUCAACGGACCGAGUUACCCUAGGGAUAA
rnacentral:rRNA from 1 species